UACGGGAGGCAGCAGUAGGGAAUAUUGGGCAAUGGACGCAAGUCUGACCCAGCCACGCCGCGUGCAGGAAGACGGCCCUCUGGGUUGUAAWCUGCUUUUGACUGGGAAGAAAAGACUCCUUGCGAGGAGAGUUGACGGUACCAGCAGAAUAAGCCACGGCUAACUACGUGCCAGCAGCCGCGGUAAUACGUAGGUGGCGAGCGUUAUCCGGAUUUAUUGGGUUUAAAGGGUGCGUAGGCGGYUGAUUAAGUCAGCGGUGAAAGGUAGCAGCUUAACUKUUUUACAUGCCGUUGAUACUGGUUAGCUUGAGUUAACAGAAGGCAGAUAGAAUUUCUGGUGUAGCGGUGAAAUGCUUAGAUACCAGGAGGAAUACCGAUUGCGAAGGCAGUCUGCUGCAGUUACACUGACGCUGAGGCACGAAAGUGCGGGGAUCAAACAGGAUUAGAUACCCUGGUAGUCCGCACAGUAAACGAUGAUUACUAGUUGUGGCGAGAGUCAGUGACCAAGGAAACCGAUAAGUAUCCACCU
rnacentral:rRNA from 1 species